AGUGAACGCUGGCGGUAGGCCUAACACAUGCAAGUCGAACGGCAGCACAGUAAGAGCUUGCUCUUACGGGUGGCGAGUGGCGGACGGGUGAGGAAUACAUCGGAAUCUACUUUUUCGUGGGGGAUAACGUAGGGAAACUUACGCUAAUACCGCAUACGACCUACGGGUGAAAGCAGGGGAUCUUCGGACCUUGCGCGAUUGAAUGAGCCGAUGUCGGAUUAGCGAGUUGGCGGGGUAAAGGCCCACCAAGGCGUAGAUCGGUAGCUGGUGUGAGGGGAUGUAGAGCGACACUGGAACUGAGCCGCGGUCCAGAGUCCUACGGGCGGCACCGGUGCGGACUAGUGGCCGAUGGGGGCAAUCCUGAUCCAGCCAUACCGCGUUGAUGAAGAAGGCCUUCGGGUUGUAUAGCCCUUUUGUUGGGAUAGAAAAGCAGCAGUUUAAUACCCCGCUGUUCUGACGGUACCCAGAGAAUAAGCACCGGCUAACUUCGUG
rnacentral:rRNA from 1 species